rnacentral:tRNA from 1 species
CAAAGCAUAGUUUAUUAAAAAUACUAGCAUUGGAAGUUAGAGAUUGGCGUUUUUGUCAUGCUUUGA